GACCAUCGAUCGGUCAUCGGACGGUCACCGGCCACCGCACCGGCCACCGCGCCGGCCACCGGCCUCCGGCGACGGCACCGUCGUCUGCGGUGGCCGGAAAAGGAGAAAAUCUCCUAUUUAAACCUUCCAGCCCUUCCCAGCUCAGAUCUGGGUUCAAACCCUUCGAAAAAGCGACAAAAACACCCUAAAAGCCCUCGGAACCUUUCGACUUCCGAUCGUCUAUCCUUGGAGACGAACCUCGGCCAUUCCAACGGCGAUUCAGAAGCAAACCAAAGUAAGUUCUUUACUCUCCGUUUUAUUGUGUUUUAGUAAGGUAAAAAUAAUAAAUAAUAAAUAAAAGAAAACAAAGAAAUAAUCGAUGCAAAAAUAAAAUAUCAACCUUUUUGAGUUUUGGUUGAUUCUAUGUUUGUAAAAUAUCGUGCCUUUUUUAUUUUUAAUUUUCCGGGCCUAUUACAAUAUAUGAAUGGCUCUUUUAUAGCCGAAGUAUUAACAACAUAAAGAAACAAAUCUUUGAUUUGAUUUGCAAAUCUUCAAUUUCUUUCCAUAUCUGUUUGUUUCUUCCUUUUUUUGUUUUGAUGUGCAGAUGAAGAUUCGGAAGGCGGCUCGUGCGAAGGGUGCGAGACUUGCGGCUGCGGCGCGAAGGCUUCUUCAGAAACCCUAGGGUUUCCGCAAAUGAUUUGGGCCACCGAGCUUUGGGCCCCUGUUGUAUUUUGGGUCUGGGCCAUAUAGGCCAUUUGUAAUUUGGACUGUUUAUUUAUUGUGGGCCACGUAAAAAUAUGGGUAUUACAUUGUUUUUUUAAUUCAC
rnacentral:lncRNA from 1 species